GAAAAAGAGGCCAUGAAGGACACAAGCUCACCCUAAACUUGUCUGCCCCCCCCCCCGGGAUCAAACUCAGGAGCUUGCACUUGCUAGGCAGAUACACUGCCACUGAGCUAAAUCCCUAGCUUGUGCUUUUUCUUAAGUAUGGUCCUCCCCCCACUUCCACUUCAGAGUCUGCACCUGAAGAUUCAUCCGAUCACAGAUGGGGGUUGCUCCCAAGAGGACCCCUGAACACCAGCCUAUCAGUCUGUCCUGUCUUCCUUCUGCUGUACAGACAGGGCAGCCUGACAUCUUCCUGAAGGGUGUUACAGCAG
rnacentral:lncRNA from 1 species